GCUCUCAGUAUGUGGAGGGAGAGCUACUGUGCGUAAUGGCUACGCGUGUUGAAUCCUGAGAGGGUUCCUUAAUUUCGGAGGAAGAUUCGACGUCCGACUUAAGAUUAGUCUGAAAGCAGAGUAAAGUAGAGACACGGUGAAACAGAGCUGUUCAAAUGCUUGCCCUUGCGUUGCAUCCGUCCCUGGUCUCCCCACUUUUCCAGUCACAUGGGUUCAUUCUAUCACACGACACCAGUAGACUGUCUUUUCCUCACUCUUACAUUUAAUCAGAGCUUCUGAAUGACUGAACACCUGCCCAACAGUGUGAAAGGCAGGAAGAGUGGAGACAGAAUUGGGUUGGAAAAUUUAUAAUAUAUGUUUUUUAUAUUUUGACCACUAAGACACAGUCAUGCAAACUCUACUGAGAGUCCCUAAAAAUUUGGAAAGUCCAUCAUUUGGAGUGAUGUUUAUUGUUUUAAAAAUAAAAUAAUUAAAAAAAAAAAAAAAAAUUUACUAUUGACUCUGAUUGAUUUCCGCCAGUCCAGUGGAACCAGAAGAACCACAUCCUCCGCAAAAGGCAAAGCAGUCAGUCUGAAGUCCACAACCUGGAGAUUCCCCUUCUCACCAAGACACGAACGUGGUUGUCAACCAGCAGGAUGGAGGCUCGUCACGGCGGCGCGUGUCCACAGUCCCUCUGGCACACUGAAGCGUGGAGCCGCCCUCUUUCACUCGUCUUCAUUCAUGGUGGAUGGUUAUUGUCUGAUUAUGAAUACAGCUGGCAGCCUGCGCGCGUGUCAUUAUCCACUAUGCCCAGGCUAUACACGGCGUGCCAGCUGGCCAUAUCUUAUCUUAUCUGACUCUACCUUCUCCUGCACUGUGCGCUGCCAGAUACAUUAGCCCAGGCUGAUUUGGUGCUUAUGAAACCCC
rnacentral:lncRNA from 1 species